rnacentral:rRNA from 1 species
ACGAACGCUGGCGGCGUGCUUAACACAUGCAAGUCGAACGAUGAAGCCCAGCUUGCUGGGUGGAUUAGUGGCGAACGGGUGAGUAACACGUGAGUAACCUGCCCUUGACUCUGGGAUAAGCGCUGGAAACGGCGUCUAAUACCGGAUACGACCUGCCCCGGCAUCGGGUGCGGGUGGAAAGUUUUUCGGUCAAGGAUGGACUCGCGGCCUAUCAGGUAGUUGGUGAGGUAAUGGCUCACCAAGCCGACGACGGGUAGCCGGCCUGAGAGGGUGACCGGCCACACUGGGACUGAGACACGGCCCAGACUCCUACGGGAGGCAGCAGUGGGGAAUAUUGCACAAUGGGCGAAAGCCUGAUGCAGCAACGCCGCGUGGGGGAUGACGGCCUUCGGGUUGUAAACCUCUUUUAGUAGGGAAGAAGGGCUUCGGCUUGACGGUACCUGCAGAAAAAGCACCGGCUAACUACGUGCCAGCAGCCGCGGUAAUUACGUAGGGGUGCAAGCGUUGUCCGGAAUUAUUGGGCGUAAAGAGCUCGUAGGCGGUUUGUCGCGUCUGCUGUGAAAACCCGAGGCUCAACCUCGGGCCUGCAGUGGGUACGGGCAGACUAGAGUGCGGUAGGGGAGAUGGAAUCCUGGUGAGCGGUGGAAUKMGCAGAUAUCAGGAGGAACACCGAUGGCGAAGGCAGUUCUCUGGGCCGUUACUGACGCUGAGGAGCGAAAGCGUGGGGAGCGAACAGGAUUAGAUACCCUGGUAGUCCACGCCGUAAACGUUGGGAACUAGAUGUGGGGACCUUUCCACGGUCUCCGUGUCGCAGCUAACGCAUUAAGUUCCCCGCCUGGGGAGUACGGCCGCAAGGCUAAAACUCAAAGGAAUUGACGGGGGCCCGCACAAGCGGCGGAGCAUGCGGAUUAAUUCGAUGCAACGCGAAGAACCUUACCAAGGCUUGACAUAUACCGGAAACUUCCAGAAAUGGUUGCCCCGCAAGGUCGGUAUACAGGUGGUGCAUGGUUGUCGUCAGCUCGUGUCGUGAGAUGUUGGGUUAAGUCCCGCAACGAGCGCAACCCUCGUUCUAUGUUGCCAGCACGUCAUGGUGGGAACUCAUAGGAGACUGCCGGGGUCAACUCGGAGGAAGGUGGGGAUGACGUCAAAUCAUCAUGCCCCUUAUGUCUUGGGCUUCACGCAUGCUACAAUGGCCGGUACAAAGGGCUGCGAUACCGUAAGGUGGAGCGAAUCCCAAAAAGCCGGUCUCAGUUCGGAUUGAGGUCUGCAACUCGACCUCAUGAAGUCGGAGUCGCUAGUAAUCGCAGAUCAGCAACGCUGCGGUGAAUACGUUCCCGGGCCUUGUACACACCGCCCGUCAAGUCAUGAAAGUCGGUAACACCCGAAGCCAGUGGCCUAACCGCAAGGAGGGAGCUGUCGAAGGUGGGAUCGGUGAUUAGGACUAAGUCGUAACAAGGUAGCCGUACGG